rnacentral:rRNA from 1 species
AACGAACGCUGGCGGCGUGCUUAACACAUGCAAGUCGAACGGACUCUUCGGAGUUAGUGGCGGACGGGUGAGUAAUACAUAGAUAAUCUGCCUUCAAGUGGGGGAUAACUAGCGAAAGUUUAGCCAAUACCGCAUAAUGUAGUUAGUUGAAAUACUAAUUAAGAAAGGAUUUAUUCGCUUUUAGAGGGGUCUAUGGUUGAUUAGCUAGUUGGUGAGGUAAUGGCUCACCAAGGCGACGAUCAAUAGCUGGUCUGAGAGGACGAUCAGCCACACUGGGACUGAGACACGGCCCAGACUUCUACGGAAGGCAGCAGUGGGGAAUUUUCCGCAAUGGGCGAAAGCCUGACGGAGCGACGCCGCGUGGAGGAUGAAGUUUUUAGGAAUGUAAACUCCUUUCAGCAGGGACGAAAACAAUGACGGUACCUGCAGAAGAAGCAUCGGCUAACUACGUGCCAGCCGCCGCAGUAA